rnacentral:rRNA from 1 species
GACGAACGCUGGCGGCGUGCUUUAGGCAUGCAAGUCGAACGCGAAAGCCCCUUCGGGGGUGAGUAGAGUGGCGAACGGGUGAGUAACACGUGGGUAACCUGCCCCUCGCAGGGGGAUAACCAGGGGAAACCCCGGCUAAUACCCCGUACGCUUGCUGGGGCGCAUGCUCCGGCAAGGAAAGGUAGCUUCGGCCAUCCGGCGAGGGAGGGGCCCGCGGCCCAUUAGCUAGUUGGUGGGGUAACGGCCCACCAAGGCGACGAUGGGUAGCUGGCCUGAGAGGGUGGUCAGCCACUCUGGGACUGAGACACGGCCCAGACUCCUACGGGAGGCAGCAGCCAGGAAUCUUGCGCAAUGGGCGAAAGCCUGACGCAGCAACGCCGCGUGGGCGAUGAAGGCCUUCGGGUCGUAAAGCCCUGUUGUCGGGGACGAAGGGCGAAGGGUUAAUAGCCCCUAGCCUGACGGUACCCGACGAGGAAGCCCCGGCUAACUACGUG